UAGAGGAAGUAAAAGUCGUAACAAGGUUUCCGUAGGUGAACCUGCGGAAGGAUCAUUAUUGAAUGAACUUGGCUCGGUUGCAGCUGGUCCUUUCGAGGGCAUGUGCUCGCCGUGUCAUCUUUAUCUCUCCACCUGUGCACGUUUUGUAGACCUGGAUUAGUUAACUUUCCGAGGCAACUCGGUCGGGAGGAUUGCUCAAAGGCUUUCCUUGCAAUUGAACCAGGCCUAUGUUUUCAUAUACCCCAAAGAAUGUAACAGAAUGUAUCAUAUGGCCUUGUGCCUAUAAACUAUAUACAACUUUCAGCAACGGAUCUCUUGGCUCUCGCAUCGAUGAAGAACGCAGCGAAAUGCGAUAAGUAAUGUGAAUUGCAGAAUUCAGUGAAUCAUCGAAUCUUUGAACGCACCUUGCGCUCCUUGGUAUUCCGAGGAGCAUGCCUGUUUGAGUGUCAUUAAAUUCUCAACCUUACCAGUGUUUGCUGGUAAUGGCUUGGAUGUGGGGGGUCUUUUGCUGGCUUCGUCAAGAGGUCGGCUCCCCUUAAAUGCAUUAGCUGGUGCCCCGCGCGGAACCGUCUAUUGGUGUGAUAAUUAUCUACGCCGUGGACGUCUGCAUCAAUGGGAUUGCGCUGCUUCUAACCGUCCGCUCUGGACAACACAAAUGACAAUUUGACCUCAAAUCAGGUAGGACUACCCGCUGAACUUAAGCAUAUCAAUA
rnacentral:sRNA from 1 species